rnacentral:tmRNA from 1 species
GGGGCUGCUUGGUUUUGACAGCAAGGAUAAUGGGUUUGUAAGCAUGCAGGCUGACGCGCCAGAAGCCUCAACCACAGACGCAAAACAAUAAUUGGCGAAAGAAACUACGCUCUCGCUGCCUAACCGAAGAACAGUAAGUUCGGCUUCAUCGCCCUGCCAGGCAGGGUGACGAGACAUCUCCCAGCCGCCCCGACCGUCGGCUGCUGACACGGAGGUGCUAAUAAAGACAGUCUAGCCCGCGCGACGCCUCUACACGCCGGCGAAACCCUCAGAGGCUACGGGUGGCCUUGGGUGCCGAUGUCCGGCGCCACCCCGACAACCAACCACCGGAUAAGCAUGUAGAAAGCACACUUGUUACUUGUUUGGACGGCGGUUCGACUCCGCCCAGCUCCACU